AGAGUUUGAUCAUGGCUCAGGACGAACGCUGGCGGCGUGCCUAAUACAUGCAAGUCGAGCGAAUCAAUAGGAGCUUGCUCCUGUUGAUUAGCGGCGGACGGGUGAGUAACACGUGGGCAACCCGCCUGUAAGACUGGGAUAACACCGGGAAACCGGUGCUAAUACCGGAUAAUCCUUUUCCUCUCAUGAAGAAAAGCUGAAAGUCGGUUUCGGCUGACACUUACAGAUGGGCCCGCGGCGCAUUAGCUAGUUGGUGAGGUAACGGCUCACCAAGGCGACGAUGCGUAGCCGACCUGAGAGGGUGAUCGGCCACACUGGGACUGAGACACGGCCCAGACUCCUACGGGAGGCAGCAGUAGGGAAUCUUCCACAAUGGACGAAAGUCUGAUGGAGCAACGCCGCGUGAGCGAUGAAGGCCUUCGGGUCGUAAAGCUCUGUUGUUAGGGAAGAACAAGUACCGGAGUAACUGCCGGUACCUUGACGGUACCUAACCAGAAAGCCACGGCUAACUACGUGCCAGCCGCCGCGGUAAUAC
rnacentral:rRNA from 1 species